rnacentral:rRNA from 1 species
UUCCGGUUGAUCCCGCCAGACCUGACUGCUAUCGGAUUGAUACUAAGCCAUGCGAGUCAUUGUAGCAAUACAAGGCAUACGGCUCAGUAACGCGUAGUCAACCUAACCUAUGGACGGGAAUAACCUCGGGAAACUGAGAAUAAUGCCCGAUAGAACAUUAUACCUGGAAUGGUUUAUGUUCCAAAUGAUUUAUCGCCGUAGGAUGGGACUGCGGCCUAUCAGUUUGUUGGUGAGGUAAUGGCCCACCAAGACUAUUACAGGUACGGGCUCUGAGAGGAGUAGCCCGGAGAUGGGUACUGAGACACGGACCCAGGCCCUAUGGGGCGCAGCAGGCGAGAAAACUUUGCAAUGUGCGAAAGCACGACAAGGUUAAUCCGAGUGAUUUCUGCUAAAGAAAUCUUUUGUUAGUCCUAGAAACACUAACGAAUAAGGGGUGGGCAAGUUCUGGUGUCAGCCGCCGCGGUAAAACCAGCACCUCAAGUGGUCAGGAUGAUUAUUGGGCCUAAAGCAUCCGUAGCCGGCUCUGUAAGUUUUCGGUUAAAUCUGUACGCUUAACGUACAGGCCGCCGGGAAUACUGCAAAGCUAGGGAGUGGGAGAAGUAGACGGUACUCGGUAGGAAGUGGUAAAAUGCUUUGAUCUAUCGAUGACCACCUGUGGCGAAGGCGGUCUACUAGAACACGUCCGACGGUGAGGGAUGAAAGCUGGGGGAGCAAACCGGAUUAGAUACCCGGGUAGUCCCAGCUGUAAACUAUGCAAACUCAGUGAUGCAUUGGCUUGUGGCCAAUGCAGUGCUGCAGGGAAGCCGUUAAGUUUGCCGCCUGGGAAGUACGUACGCAAGUAUGAAACUUAAAGGAAUUGGCGGGGGAGCACCACAAGGGGUGAAGCCUGCGGUUCAAUUGGAGUCAACGCCGGA